rnacentral:rRNA from 1 species
UGGGGAAUAUUGGGCAAUGGGGGAAACCCUGACCCAGCAACGCCGCGUGAAGGAAGAAGGUUUUCGGAUUGUAAACUUCUGUCCCAUGGGAAGAAGGAAGUGACGGUACCAUGGGAGGAAGCCCCGGCUAACUACGUGCCAGCAGCCGCGGUAAUACGUAGGGGGCAAGCGUUGUCCGGAAUUAUUGGGCGUAAAGGGUGCGUAGGCGGCCUUACAAGUUGGAUGUGAAAUCCCCGUGCUUAACAUGGGAACUGCAUCCAAAACUGUAGGGCUUGAGUGUGGAAGAGGUAAGUGGAAUUCCCAGUGUAGCGGUGAAAUGCGUAGAUAUUGGGAGGAACACCAGUGGCGAAGGCGACUUACUGGGCCACAACUGACGCUGAGGCACGAAAGCGUGGGGAGCAAACA